rnacentral:misc_RNA from 1 species
AAGUCGUAACAAGGUAACCGUAGGUGAACCUGCGGUUGGAUCAUUAAAAAAUGUUUGGUCUUGUACCAAAUGAACACCUGUGUGCACCAAAUGACUGUUUUUGGUAGUUCGAGUUGCUCCUCGGGACUCAACACCCCGAGGUGCCUACCGCUGCCCGAUUAGGUGGACUGGUUUUACAACCUGGGCACCGUCAUUGGGCAACGCGCGGUUGGGCUACCGACCAUUUGAACAAACAUUUUGAUUUUUUUGUCUGAACUUUUAAGAUUUAAUCUUUGAUGAUUAAUGAUUAAUUACAGCUUUUGACAACGGAUCUCUUGGCUCUC